CGGAGGGCGGCCCGGCGCCGCGUGAGCCCGCCGGGACUCGUGUCUGGGCUGCCGGAGGAGCCCGGGGGUCGAGCGCGCUGCGGCAUCCUGCCCCACAGCCAUGUAAAUUUUCCUCUAUACGAAUGUUCAUUGUUGCCUUCUACAUUCCUCUGCUGACAGUGAAGAGGACAUGCUAAAUCAAACUGACGGAAAAACUGGACAUAAGCUUAGCCAGGACGCCCAAAUUCAUGCUACUGAAACAAAAGCCUGAACAGCAUUGCACUCGCUUUCUGAUGAUGUUGGUAGACUAGGCACAUUUCUGGAAAAAGUCUAUGACCAGAUUUGCUGAUGACAAUAUCUAUGUGACAAUGGCAUCAGAAACAUUCUGGAAAACAAGGAGAUCUUACAGAAAGAACCAGAAAAUAAGAGGUUUUUCUUCUGAAAGGUAAUCUUUAUUCCCUGGGUACAAAAUAAGCGUUUGGAUGAAUGUUGAAGCAUAAAGCCGGUCAAGAUUUUGAUCUAUCUAUUGUUGGGCUUUGUAGAAAAUUUGGAAAGGUCUGAAAUGUUG